ensembl:lncRNA
CGGAGUGAGCAGCCGGCUUGAGGUCUGACCCCCGCCCGCUCCCGGCCAGAGGCGGGGCCCUCCGGCGCUGCGGGGCCCCUCUCCCCGGGGGCCGCCAGCUGCUGGGCGCUGAGUCGGCGGCCGGGUCGGCAGACACCGCCCUGCCGCCGCGGUCCCGGGGCGGGGGACGUGCAGGCCGGGAGGGCGUGGGCCCCCGCCGGGCGCGCGGACGGGCUGCUUUGCGGCUGGUGGUCUUCCUGUGGUCAGCGCGGUGACCGGAAACUCCUGCCCGGCCCGGCGCCGCCGUGUGCCGAGCCCCGUGCCCCCUCCUCCUCCGCGCUGGCGGAGGGGGUUCCUCGAGUCUGCACAGAGCUCCAGUCUGGCCCCCCCGGGAAGCCGCCGGCCCCUGUGCGUCCCCUCACCCGCUCCCCGCUCCCCUGCCAGCACCCCGGGCUCUGGGCUGCGCGUCCAGCCUUCUCUCCAGGAAAGCUGCCCAGGCCUCCAGCUGCCUUUGCCAAAUGCCGCUGUGUGUGCUUGGUGCUUCACCUCCACCUUCGGGAGAAGGAACAGGGGCCGCGGAUGGAUAAGCAGCUCCCCAGGGGCGAGAGUGCUGCUGCAGGGAAGCUGGGUGGCAGGGGUCAGGCCUGCUGUGCAGUGGAAGCCCAGGGCCAGAGCAGCAGAGGGCGGGGCAGGGCAGGGCCCACCUAGCACUCAGGGUCUCUGAGCGCCUGAGCCUGCCGGGCUGGCCUUGGGGAGGCCGGGUGGAGGCUGGGGUACCCCGGGCCUGGCUGCAUGGGCGUCGCUGCAGGAGAAAGCCUGUUAAGACACACCUGACGUUUGGGGAGGGGGAGGGAGCGCUGUCAUCUAGGACCCCCCCCCCCCCCCAAGCAGCAAGGCAGGUGGCCUCUGGUCCUCGCUGACUGUGUGGCCCUGAAGUUCUCUCCCGGUUUGUGUGAUUUUUCUAACAGCUCAGAGAUCUUCACUCAAGGCCUGGGGUGUCCCACUGCCCCUCAGGGACCUGGGGCAGGUGUGGCGGGCUCUGACCCGUGCGAGGGGCACAUCGAAAGGAAGGCAGACACUGUGCUUCUGUGCCCCCCGUGCCAGCCUCCGGGCCCCGACCUAGACAUCUCUCGGGGUGAACUGGGGUUUUGUUUCCUGUCUACAAAGUACUAGAAACUGGACAGGAGAAAAUAAAUCAGAGGCUUUAUUCCUACAGGGAUGAGAAGGGGGCUGUUUCUUAUCUGCCUGGGGAAUUUGGGGCCAAGUGUCAAGAAACCCAUGAGAACACUGAAUUAAUUCUUCAGUAAAUUGUUUAAUAAACACUGUCUUCCCAUUAGGAGAGUAAUACUUCUUUAUCACCGAAAGUUUGGAAAAGUAUCUAAUGAGCCAGAACUAGGGACUCCACAUAACUUGGCUUGGGUUUUCACAGGUUUAACUCGUGCCGUGAUGAACAUCUUUGCCAAUUUGUCCCUGGAAGCCGCCGGCUCAGUUUUCCCAAGAGUAAAUUCCUAGAAGAGACACUGCCGGGCCAAGGACUGGGAUGUAUUUUGGCCAAAAUGCCCUCCGGAAAGGCCCGGCUGAGUACCGUCUGCCCUGUGGGGCUGGCUCCUGUCCUCUGUUCGCCUCUGGCAAUCUCACAGGGCGGCUAUUACCUAACCCUGAGGUUUCCUAACCCGUUUGCCAAUUUAAUGGCUAAACUUACAAAUAAGAACUACUGAAUACCUGCAGGGGUGUGAAUUACAGAUUCCUGUGGCCAGCAGAAGCCCAAGAUGUGACGGGUAAUAAACAAACUCUGGAAGGGGAGAGGCUUUCUUCGCUUCUUGUUCGAAGCCACCAACCUUCAGAUAUCUGUGUAUGCACGCAGAUCUGUGCACAGGAGCACAGGCGCGCGUGUGGACGCACAGUGCACAUGUGCACGCGUUUGCACUGAACUUUUAGGAAGCUCUGUCUCCUGCGUGGUGGUAGGUCAUCAUUGGAGGAAGGGCACUGGUCGUAUCGAAACUCUCCUAUUGUAAGAGGUGCCGACCUUGGUGUUUAGUUCCCCAGUCAGGCUGCUCACUGCGGGUUCAGGGUCUCCUGGGAUCAGCCUCCAGGCCACCUUCCCCUGGUUCCUGCAAUGGACCCACCUGGCACCGUGAAGUGGGCUCCCUUCCCCAGGGCAGGGGUCCCCCACGCAUCUCUGCUCAGCCUAGUCCGACGUUUCUAGAAGGAUAGCCGGCAGCUCUGCUGUCCCGCGGGUGGGUGAGUGGGGGGAGCAGGGGCUGGGGCGGUGGCCGGGCUUCUGGUCGGGCUCCGGGGCCCCUCGUGGUCGCUGCUGGCCUCUGACCCCGCGCUUGUCCUCCUGUCAAG